GACGAACGCUGGCGGCGUGCUUAACACAUGCAAGUCGAACGAAGAGCGACGGAAGCUUGCUUCUAUCAAUCUUAGUGGCGAACGGGUGAGUAACGCGUAAUCAACCUGCCCUUCAGAGGGGGACAACAGUUGGAAACGACUGCUAAUACCGCAUACGAUCUAAUCUCGGCAUCGAGGAUAGAUGAAAGGUGGCCUCUACAUGUAAGCUAUCACUGAAGGAGGGGAUUGCGUCUGAUUAGCUAGUUGGAGGGGUAACGGCCCACCAAGGCGAUGAUCAGUAGCCGGUCUGAGAGGAUGAACGGCCACAUUGGGACUGAGACACGGCCCAGACUCCUACGGGAGGCAGCAGUGGGGAAUCUUCCGCAAUGGACGAAAAGUCUGACGGGAGCAAACGCCCGCGUGAGUGAUGACGGCCUUUCGGGUUGUAAAAGCUCUG
rnacentral:rRNA from 1 species